UCCGCCAGGGGACUACAAGCAUUAGCUUAAAACCCAAAGGACUUGGCGGUGCUUUAGACCCACCUAGAGGAGCCUCUUCUAGAACCGAUAACCCCCGUUAAACCUCACCCUUUUUUGUCAACACCGCCUAUAUACCGCCGUCGUCAGCUUACCCCGUGAGGGUUAAAAAGUAAACGAAAUUGGCACUGCCUAAAACGCCAGGUCGAGGUGUAGCGCAUAAAAGGGGAAGAAAUGGGCUACAUUUCCUAACAUAGGAAACUACGGACCGCAUAAUGAAAUAAAUGCACGAAGGAGGAUUUAGCAGUAAGUAGAAAGCAGAGUGUUCU
rnacentral:rRNA from 1 species